CGAGCCGAGCGUGCCUCCUCCCCGUCCGCAAAAUCGCAUCCCUUUAACGCGUUCCAUUUCGAACAGCCGGCGCAUCAGCGUUGUCGGAGCGCAUGAUAGACUACUAAAUGGACAAGUAUCUGCAACGUUCAGCGUCGAAGAUGAUGCUUACCAGAUGUUCUACUACAACCCCAUCCAUAUCAUCGACAUGAAGUUAGAUUUUGGCAUUCAUUCGUCAAAAGUUGGUGUACAAGGAACUCCAGGAGAAGAAUCUUUAAGUAAAUAAUUUAUAUAGAUCAGGAUCUUAUGUUGUCGAGGUGGCUGCUGUUGUGACCAAAGAUCAGCCUGGAGAUGUGCAUCAUAGUUUUAGUUGAUGUUGCCACCAUGUUUUGGUGCCUGUGUAUUUGAUUGUAUGUACACUUGAUGGACCGUGUAGUCGUGUACGUGCUGUUUGAGUUUCAUUUAGUGAUUUCUGGAUUUGAUCAUUUAAUUGAGAAAAUUAUUUAUUGUUUGCUGUUGAAA